CGCGCAUCCUUUAAAGGAGAUGGACAGCCGGACAGAGGUCGGCCUCGCCAAGUGCGUGCCCUGCAUCCCCCCAGCUACGACUGUCUACCUGAAUGUGCCGCUGCCGAUGUCCGGCAAGAAUAUCCGGGCCAGAAGCCUCGCAACAUUGCCGUGCACACAAUGAAGGCGUCUGCUCUUCUGUAGACAGCCUACAGGCCUUUAUCCAGGCAUCAUUUAGUCGAUGGCAAUGAGCGGCUGGCCUACAAGCUGGAAGGAGUCACGGCGCUGGCCCUGGUUCAACAGUCCGAUAUGAUCUACUAUGCCCAUGGCAAGCGAAUCGAUAAAAGGAACAAGUGAUCAACAUUGCCGCCGUGGAGGGACUUGUGUACUGGCUGGACGACAAGACCGGAGUGGAACGGAUCACUUUCAACGGUGAGCGUCGUUCCGCGGAGCUGUAGCGUCUGCCACAGAUCACCGAUCACAUAACCACACGCGUCUGCACAGCAGCACAAACUAUUUCCUCAUCUGCAUAGCCAUUGGCACGCAGAGUGUGCGACGUCUGCUCGUGCCCCCAGUAUCUGAUGAUGCUGGAGGACAAGGAGAACUGCCGCGCGUAUCCGGCCUGGGGGCCAGAUCAUUAAACGUGCGCGGCCCCAGUGGCGGGAACAGUGACAUGAACAAGGACUGCACACCCGGCUCCUGGCGCUGUGAAGCCCAAAUGUGAAGUGGGAUGUCCCACAUGCCGGUGGAUCAGUUCAGCUGCCAGUCGAGUGCAUCGACAAGGCUCUGGUCUGGGAUGCCACCACCAACUGUGACAAUGGCCACGAUGUGGUCGACUGCUUUAAGCGGCCAGGAGACUUUCAGUGUCCCAUCAACAAGCUUUGCAUAUCGGCCGCCCUGCUCUGCGAUGGCUGGAACUGUGCCGAUGGUGCAGACGAUUUUCCCCAUAUUUUUUUUUUUCAUGGCGGCGCAUGUCCCUGACUCGGAUAUUCUCGCGCACCGAGCCAAAGAAUCGAGCUCUGAGCAGUAAGAAAAGUCAAAAAUAGUUAAAAAUCUUCAUAUGAAAUAAACGAAAUUGGGGUAUAUGUAUGUACAUAGGCCCAUACUACGGCUUACACACAACAUGUACCAGCAUCAUUA